UACGUAGGGGGCAAGCGUUGUCCGGAUUUAUUGGGCGUAAAGAGCGUGUAGGCGGCCAUGUAGGUCCGUUGUGAAAACUCGAGGCUCAACCUCGAGACGCCGAUGGAAACCGUCUGGCUAGAGUCCGGAAGAGGAGAGUGGAAUUCCUGGUGUAGCGGUGAAAUGCGCAGAUAUCAGGAAGAACACCCGUGGCGAAGGCGGUUCUCUGGGACGGUACUGACGCUGAGACGCGAAAGCGUGGGGAGCGAACAGG
rnacentral:rRNA from 1 species